AAAACCUGCUCGCUCAAUGCACUGCACAGGAGCUCCUGACAGUGCCCGUGCCUGGCUGUGAUCGCUGCCUGGCGUCUCUGCCGCUCCGCUGGAUGUUUGCGCAGAGGACACCUGCCUCCGCCGGUGAAUGCACCGAUCCCCCGCGGCAAAACCCACCUCGUUUCCCUUAACUUUUUGCAACGUGUGACCGUUUUUUUGGAAUUUUUUUGCACCUGUUUCCAAGACUAUGUUUCUGUCGGGUGAAAAACCCCUGUAGAGCCGGGCUUCCAACUUGGCACUUGAUGGAUAUUUGUGGCAGAUCUGGAAAGUUGUCCUGCGUCUUGGAGCAUGGGCGCAAACUUUAAAAGCUUUUUCUAAUCAAGAGACAGUUUUUUUUCUAUUUUUUGUGUUUUUUACAAUGAAGGCAGGUGAGUCACCCGUCGCGUGAGAGACGCGCAUAGCUCCGGGGCUCUCCAGGUACUGGGAAAGGGAACGCGACACGGAGGAAGUCGUGAUCUGUGCGGCGGAUUUGCGCCACGGAGGACGGAGUAAACGGACCGAUGAGACAACAUGGGUCCAUUGCUGUGUGAUGGACGGCUGACACACCUCCUCUUUCCUCUCCUCCUCCUCUUACGGGCUCCCCUGCUGUUCAGCUUUGGUGAGCGCACCUGUCCCAAUAGCUGCCGAUGUGAGGGGAAAACGGUCCAUUGUGACUCAGCUGGCUUCUUAGAUGUCCCAGAAAACAUCUCAGUAGGCUGCCAAGGCCUCUCCCUGCGCUACAAUGAGCUGCACACACUGCUGCCAUAUCAAUUUGCUCACCUCAGCCAGCUUCUCUGGAUAUACUUGGACCAUAAUCAGAUUUCAGCCGUUGACAGUCGGGCAUUCCAGGGGGUCCGCAGGCUCAAAGAGCUGAUACUGAGCUCCAACAGGAUCACAUCCCUGCACAAUUCAACAUUCCAUGGAAUUCCUAAUCUCCGCAGUCUGGACUUGUCCUACAACAAAUUGGAAAUCCUGCAGCCGGGUCAAUUCCAUGGCUUACGAAAACUACAAAACCUACAUCUUCGCUCAAAUGGUCUCUCCAACAUCCCAAUUCGAGCAUUCCUGGAGUGCCGAAGUUUGGAGUUUCUGGAUUUGGGCUAUAAUCGAAUCAAGGCUCUUACCCGCACCACCUUUUUGGGGCUACAGAAGCUGAUGGAGUUGCAUCUGGAGCACAAUCAGUUCUCACGGAUCAACUUUUUUCUGUUUCCGCGCUUAGCCAACCUGAGAUCACUCUACCUGCAAUGGAACCGCAUUAAGGUGGUCAACCAGGGCCUUCCGUGGACUUGGUAUACUCUGCAGAAACUUGAUCUGUCUGGAAAUGAAAUCCAGACCCUGGACCCGGCUGUGUUUCACUGCUUGCCCAAUCUUCAAGUCCUCAACCUGGAAUCGAACAAAUUGUCCAAUGUGUCUCAGGAGGCGGUGACAGCAUGGAUCUCACUGACGUCCAUCAGCUUGGCUGGGAACAUGUGGGAUUGUGGAACUGGCAUCUGCCCGCUUGUGGCUUGGUUGAGGAAUUUUCGGGGUAGUAAAGAUACCACCAUGAUAUGCAGCAGCCCAAAGUUUCUCCAGGGAGAAAAAAUCAUGGAAGCCACGAGAAGCCAUGGCAUAUGUGAGGAAACUGAUUACAUUCUGACCGAAACACCUUCACCAAUGUCAGAGCUCAUUUCUGAAGCCACCGGUGAACCGACCUUUGCCCCUACUAGCGGCUCUCCAACUAUGCCACCAUCCAACACCUUUGGUCCUGUCCCACCAUACAGACCUCGACCGAUUCCUAAUCCCACCUUCCCAGGACAUAUGAGCAAAGACCCAAGAGACUCCAUUGCCCGCACUCGACCCACUCAACUGCCACCCCCAGAGAUGGAACACAUGACUCUGCACAAAGUGGUGGUGGGCAGCGUGGCACUCUUCUUCCUCAUGUCCCUAAUCUUGACAAUUAUCUAUGUGUUAUGGCGGCGCUAUCCAGGUGCAACCAGGUUGCUGCAGCAGCGAUCCAUGGUGGGGCGAAAGCGUCGCAAGAAGAGUCCAGAGCCAGAGCAAAACCUUAGCUCCCAGCUCCAAGAGUAUUACAUGAGCUACAACCCUGCUGCCACACCAGAAGCAUUGGAGGUGCUAGGCAAUGGCACUGGUUCCUGCACAUGUACAAUUUCUGGCUCCAGGGAGUGUGAGGUAUGAUUCAUCGCAUCAGCCUAAAAAUAAAAACUCAAAAUCAAAAUACAAAGGCUCAACAGAGAGAAUGAGUAUACGUGCCCACGCCCCCUACCUGGUGCCUGGCUGGGAGAUGUGCCUACCAUCCAUUAACCCCUAAAAGGAACUCUUUGGAUGGUGCAGCACUGAAACAGGGAUACAGGAAAGAGACAUAUGCAGAGAACCCAUCAGGAUCCCCAUUAAUUCACCUUCAAGGAUACAUUUAAAAUGGUCCUCCAUGCUAACAAGGGCAACCACUGACCAGGAGGAGAUAAUACUGUCUUUUUCUUUCUUAAGAUUUUAUAAUGUCUUUUUCUUUUGGCCUGUGGUCUUUGGUCAUCGGCUUUGCUGCAUUCCAUUCAUCGCUACACAAAUACUGACACAGAUGGUUGUGGAGGCGCAGUCCUGUGGUGGAUAGCCUUGGAAGAAGACUCAUGAGCGCUAAUGGAUGGUUCUAACCAACAUGGGAGCUUAUUGUAUAGACUAUAAUAGCUUAUUGUCUCCAUGAGGACAACGUGGCAUUGUUUUAAAGACUGUACAAAUUCCAGAAGGCUUUAAAAAAGUGUAAACUGAGCAAUGAAAAUGAAAAUGCACUGAACAAGUGGCUCUGCUAACACAGCUGUGUAUAAUUUAAAGUGGGUUUCUCAUAUUUUGAUUCCAUAUGAAGCAUCAUGUUAUUCACUACUUUUCAUUGUUUUAUCUUUUUUUAAAAGAAAGACUAAUCAAAGGAUCAGAUGGUGUAUAUGUGCCUCACUGGAUCAGACACGUGAUCAAAGGAGUUCAUGUGCACCCGUCGGUGAAGAGCAAUCCGCUCCGCCGGGUGGAAACGGAGUCAGCAGCUGGAAGAUUGUUUGAAGAAAAAAGCAAACUAUCCCCCAGCCAACGACCUGUGGUGAAGUUUUUUCUUUGUUUGAUUUUUUAAAACAUUUUUUUCUAAGUUGUUUCUAAUUGCAAUCAAACCUCGACUGUCUAAGUUUGAUUCGAAGGACAGUAAGAGCAAUCAGAAGCGAAAGGGGGGAAAAAAGAAAAAAAAAGCUCCUAUCAAGGGUGAAAUGUAAUUUUCUGGAAAUUAUAAUGUUGUUAAUGUUGUACUUUAUGAAUAUGUGUUUCUGCCAUUUUCAACACCAAAUACCAAAGAGCCAAAUGGAGCAUUUUUGGCUCUCCCAACCAUGGGUUGUAACAGAUCCAGGAUUUGCUCUCUUAAAAAAGAAAUCAAAAAUCAAAAGAAGCCUCAACUUUCCCUCUCGUCCAGCAGUGCUCCGUUACCCAAAUUGGCUUUUAUUUUAUGUGUGUAAUGUGUACGUCUUUGUGAACAAACAAUCUUGCAUUGACAGUCUUCAUUAGGAAGAUCUUGUCUGAACUUUGAGCACUGCUUAUGACUUCUGUUCUACAUGCUUCACUUUCCUUCAAUCCGCCCAUUUCCUCCCUCAGAGAGUCUGUAGAUGUGCGCGAAUCCGCGUGUGCUUGUGUUUCAUCCCGUUAUGAGUUCUGAAUUAUAUUUGAGACGCAUUGAGUUGUGAAUUGUUUGUUUCAACCUUCAGACAUAAUCUUUCUACACCUGGAAAAUGAUAAUUUUCUAUUGUAAAUUUCUGCUUUCCCUCCCCGUUGAAUUUGUUGAUAUUUAGUAAGAAGCUGUAUUCUCUGUUCACUUUCAACAGUAUGUUUUUUAAUGAAAAUAAUGACUUUAUUGGUGAGCAAUAUGAAUUGGUCCAAUUAAAACAUUCAUUAAUCA